rnacentral:rRNA from 1 species
GUGGGGAAUCUUCCACAAUGGACGAAAGUCAGAUGGAGCAACGCCGCGUGAGUGAAGAAGGGUUUCGGCUCGUAAAGCUCUGUUGUCGGGGACGAAUGUGCAGUAUUUGAAUAAAGUAGUGCAAUGACGGUACCUGACGAGGAAGCCACGGCUAACUACGUGCCAGCAGCCGCGGUAAUACGUAGGUGGCAAGCGUUGUCCGGAAUUAUUGGGCGUAAAGGGAGCGCAGGCGGGAAGGUAAGUCGGUCUUAAAAGUGCGGGGCUCAACCCCGUGAUGGGAUCGAAACUAUCUUUCUUGAGUGCAGGAGAGGAAAGUGGAAUUCCUAGUGUAGCGGUGAAAUGCGUAGAUAUUAGGAGGAACACCAGUGGCGAAGGCGACUUUCUGGACUGUAACUGACGCUGAGGCUCGAAAGCCAGGGGAGCGAACGGGAUUAGAUACCCUGGUAGUCC